AUGAACGCUGGCGGCGUGCCUAAUACAUGCAAGUCGAGCGAACAGACGAGGAGCUUGCUCCUCUGACGUUAGCGGCGGAUGGGUGAGUAACACGUGGAUAACCUACCUAUAAGACUGGGAUAACUUCGGGAAACCGGAGCUCAUACCGGAUAAUAUAUUGAACCGCAUGGUUCAAUAGUGAAAGACGGUUUUGCUGUCACUUAUAGAUGGAUCCGCGCCGCAUUAGCUAGUUGGUAAGGUAACGGCUUACCAAGGCAACGAUGCGUAGCCGACCUGAGAGGGUGAUCGGCCACACUGGAACUGAGACACGGUCCAGACUCCUACGGGAGGCAGCAGUAGGGAAUCUUCCGCAAUGGGCGAAAGCCUGACGGAGCAACGCCGCGUGAGUGAUGAAGGUCUUCGGAUCGUAAAACUCUGUUAUUAGGGAAGAACAAAUGUGUAAGUAACUAUGCACGUCUUGACGGUACCUAAUCAGAAAGCCACGGCUAACUACGUG
rnacentral:rRNA from 1 species